rnacentral:rRNA from 1 species
AGAGUUUGAUCAUGGCUCAGAUUGAACGCUGGCGGCAGGCCUUACACAUGCAAGUCGAGCGGUAGCACAGAGAGCUUGCUCUCGGGUGACGAGCGGCGGACGGGUGAGUAAUGUCUGGGAAACUGCCUGAUGGAGGGGGAUAACUACUGGAAACGGUAGCUAAUACCGCAUAACGUCGCAAGACCAAAGUGGGGGACCUUCGGGCCUCAUGCCAUCAGAUGUGCCCAGAUGGGAUUAGCUAGUAGGUGGGGUAAUGGCUCACCUAGGCGACGAUCCCUAGCUGGUCUGAGAGGAUGACCAGCCACACUGGAACUGAGACACGGUCCAGACUCCUACGGGAGGCAGCAGUGGGGAAUAUUGCACAAUGGGCGCAAGCCUGAUGCAGCCAUGCCGCGUGUAUGAAGAAGGCCUUCGGGUUGUAAAGUACUUUCAGCGAGGAGGAAGGCGUUAAGGUUAAUAACCUUGGCGAUUGACGUUACUCGCAGAAGAAGCACCGGCUAACUCCGUGCCAGCAGCCGCGGUAAUAC